rnacentral:ncRNA from 1 species
AUAUUAUAAUUUUUGUAAUUAAGUUAAAUUUGAUUUUAGUUUAAGUAAAGAUGAAAUAUAAUAUUAUAUAAAUUAGUUUAUUAACAUAUAUAGUAAUAUAAUUUAAUAUAUUAGAUUAUAAGCGAGAUUUGGUUAAAUUCGUGCCAGCCAUCGCGGUUAGACGUAAAAAUUUCUUUAUAAGAAUAGAAAAUAAAUUAAUGUUUAAAAGAAAGAAGAUUAUGUAUGAAUUAAGGUAAAAUUUAUUGUAUGAAUUAUGAUGUUUUAUGUUAAAAUUUUAUUGUUACAUAUGAUACAUAAAGACCAGGAUUAGAUACCCUGUUAUUACAUAUAUUAUUAAACUAUUAGGGUAGUAUUUAUUGAAACCUAAAAAAUUUGGCGGUAUUUUAGUCAUUUUAGAGGAGUCUGUAAUAUAAGUGAUAAUCCUCGUUAAGAUUAGCUUUUAUUUAAUAAUUAGUAUAUCGUCGUUGUCAGAAUUUUUCAUUAGAUUUUUUCAAAGUAAGCAGAUUUAAAAUGUCAGAUCAAGAUGCAGUUUAUAUAAAAGUAUUUAUGAGACUACAAUAAAUUUAUUUAAAUGAAUUUUAAUUUUACAUAAUUAACAUAAAGGUGGAUUUAAGACAUAAAAAAUUUUUAUGACAUGUUUUUUUGAAGUAUACAUGCUACUAACAUGUGCACAUAUUGCCCGUCAUUCUCUUUUAGAGAUAAGUCGUAACAUAGUAGGAUAUAUUGGAAAAUGUAUCUAG